AGCAGAGUGGCGCAGCGGAAGCGUGCUGGGCCCAUAACCCAGCGGUCGAUGGAUUGAAACCAUGCCUCUGCUA
rnacentral:tRNA from 1 species